AACGCGAAGAACCUUACCCAGGCUUGACAUCCUUGGAAUUUUGCCGAAAGGCAAGAGUGCUUUAUUGAGCCAAGUGACAGGUGUUGCAUGGCCGUCGUCAGCUCGUGUCGUGAGAUGUUUGGUUAAGUCCAUCAACGAGCGCAACCCUUGUGACUAGUUGAAUUUUUCUAGUCAGACUGCCCUGGUAACAGGGAGGAAGGAGGGGAUGAUGUCAGGUCAGUAUUACCCUUACGCCUGGGGCUACAAACACGCUACAAUGGCCGGUACAAAGGGCAGCCAAGUCGCAAGACGGAGCAAAUCCCAUCAAAGCCGGUCCCAGUUCGGAUAGCAGGCUGAAACCCGCCUGCUUGAAGUCGGAAUCGCUAGUAACGGUAGGUCAGCUAUACUACCGUGAAUACGUUCCCGGGCCUUGUACACACCGAUAGC
rnacentral:rRNA from 1 species